rnacentral:tRNA from 1 species
GAGGGUAUAGCUCAGUGGUAGAGUGUAUGCUUAGCACGCACGAGGUCCUGGGUUCAAUCCCCAGCGCCUCCA